GAUGAACGCUGGCGGCGUGCCUAAUACAUGCAAGUCGAGCGAAUGGAUUGAGAGCUUGCUCUUAUGAAGUUAGCGGCGGACGGGUGAGUAACACGUGGGUAACCUGCCCACAAGACUGGGAUAACUCCGGGAAACCGGGGCUAAUACCGGAUAACAUUUUGAACCGCAUGGUUCGAAAUUGAAAGGCGGCUUCGGCUGUAACUUAUGGAUGGACCCGCGUCGCAUUAGCUAGUUGGUGAGGUAACGGCUCACCAAGGCAACGAUGCGUAGCCGACCUGCGAGGGGGAUCGGCCACACUGGGACUGAGACACGGCCCAGACUCCUACGGGAGGCAGCAGUAGGGAAUCUUCCGCAAUGGACGAAAGUCUGACGGAGCAACGCCGCGUGAGUGAUGAAGGCUUUCGGGUCGUAGAACUCUGUUGUUAGGGAAGAACAAGUGCUAGUUGAAUAAGCUGGCACCUUGACGGUACCUAACCAGAAAGCCACGGCUAACUACGUGCCAGCCGCCGCCGUAA
rnacentral:rRNA from 1 species